AUGCCCUGUGGGCCCUGAACGCACCACACAAGUGCCUGACUUUAAUUGGUUGUAGCGCUGCCUGCAUAUAAAGGGCCCUCCCUCACCUGGUAGACAACACGUUCUCCUUCCGGUUCAGACUUCACUGUUGACUGGCGCUAUACGACUGACGCGCUUAAGACAUUAAUUGCUGUUCAAGCCUUCUUCUGGUGACUUGUACCAGCUGACUGCUUCUUCUCCCUGCCAGAGGCAUAACGCAUCAAGCUCAGUGGUAAGCGAAAGCUCAUUUUACGUAUGCUUCCAGAUUCUAUUUUUGACAUGUAUGUUUGAUAGACGCUGCUGUUUGUCCUUGGCCGGCUGCUUGCCCGUACUCUGUUGUCCCUGGUUGACGGUCCGUCCGCCUGUGACCUGGUUAUUCGUCGUCGGCUGACGGCGGCCUGCCCGUCGCCCUGGUUGUCGGCUUCAUACCCGCUGUCCUGGUCGGCGUAAGCUGGCUUUUGACUCUCGUCCAGUGUGGCUGAUUCAGGCUGGUUCAUGACCAGCUCGUCCUGAUCCCUCUGGUGCCGCUCUGGCUGGCGUUUGCUGUGGCGCGGCGGUUCGUCUCAGGACGGACUCCUAACUUGGACUGCUAUUGCUUGAUUUGUGAGGACUGAACUGUAUAACCAAGAAAUGUAUGUAAUUUGAAUGUCUUUUCUUUUGUUGACAGGAACGGCCAGCUCGUGGUGUCGGUGGUGGACUUUCUGGGUGGUGGUAUUUUCUUUGGUUUGGUGCACGAUUUUCUUUUAUUUGGUUUGCUGUGUUUCCUUUGUAGGUCCCUGCCAGCUUCGAGUUGAGCCGUAAAUGUCAUUUUAAUGUAAAAGUCAGGACUGUCAGAGGUGAUUCCUCCAGGAAACAACCGUGGGAGCUGACUUUCCACAGGCUGAGAGACCUGCUGGUCCUGGGAGUCUGUCUGGCAGCCACUGUGUGACCGUCAGCUGUGUCUCAGAGUGCCGCAGCAGGUACAGACGGACGGACAGAGUGCUGAUUGUCACCAGUGUUAUCCGAGUCCAGCGGUGGCGGUUGGCAGGAUACGUUUCACCCAGCGUGAAUGCGAAGUGACAGUCCGUUAUUGUGAUAAAAUCGAGCAGGAGCCGAUCUCAUUCAGCUGGGUUCCCUAGGAGAGAGACACAGGAACACAGUGAAGUGAGCCAAGCUGGUAAUGCAAGCUGAAUCUAAACUACCUGCUUGUUUUUGUCUGAGAGAUGAUAAGCUGCUGUCGAAGCAGGAGAGCUCAGCACUCUGACCACUCACUUUCACAAAACACGGGAGACUGAACACAAAGAGAGUGACUGUGAGUGGGAUGUGGGAGCAUAUGGCACAAGACAGGUGCUUAAAGGGAAAAAAGGUGAAGAACUCAUGUUUACUUGGCCAUUACCUUGUCAGCGUACAUAGAGAUAAAACAAAGAAGAGUUAGAGAUGACAAUAUGAAAGUGGGAUUAUAAAAUCACUAUUCUCUAUCCCACAGCACAGGGAGGCCUAGAAUGCUCUACGCCUUGUGAUGAAACUGCAUAUGGAUGGCUGUGGCAUUGCCAUGGAGAUGUGGGUCAUAGUACUGAUGUGGGAGCGUAGCAUGGAUUUGGUGCUGGCAGCAGAGUGCUGACUGCACAGAACUGGAGCCGGCAGUAAACUCCAGCUGAAUCUAGGUCAGUGGGAUUCUCAAGACCAGAGGCAGAACUGAGGUAACUGUGGAGAGAAGGGGAGUGAGGCAGUGAGGAAGAGGGAAUGCCAUGACGGUGUGGGGGAACACCAGCCAAAGCAUGAAUACAAUGCUGAAGUUAAAUAUGACUAAAUGACAAACAAAAAAUUGGUGCUGAUACAGAAUGGACUCAUAAUACUGGUCAAUAGCAAAAAAUAUAUCUGGGGUUUCUCAGCUAAGGUCAUGUUGAUGAGCUGAAACCAAAAAUCCCAUUGGUUUUGCUCCAUCAGGUCAACUUUCUGAACUAUAGAUGCAACAUGAGCAUCAAAAUGCAGGACUUGUUCUCACAUCUGGAGAAUCUGGAUCAAUGAUGAACAGGAGGAGAGACGCCAUCAGGACAGAAAAGAGACAUAAUGUUCAAUUUACAUGUACUUACCCUUAUCAGUGUUUAUUAUACAAUUUACAGAAA